rnacentral:rRNA from 1 species
GUUAGGAAUAUUGGACAAUGGGCGAAAGCCUGAUCCAGCCAUGCCGCGUGAACGAUGAAGGCCUUCGGGUUGUAAAGUUCUUUAGCCGAUGAUUAUAAUGACUGUAGUCGGAAAAUAAGCCCCGGCUAACUUCGUGCCAGCAGCCGCGGUAAUACGAAGGGGGCGAGCGUUAUUCGGAAUCACUGGGCGUAAAGCGUGCGUAGGCGGUUUUGUAAGUUAGGAGUGAAAGCCCAGGGCUCAACCUUGGAAUUGCUCUUAAAACUGCAAGGCUCGAAUCUCGGAGAGGAUAGCGGAAUUUCCAGUGUAGCAGUGAAAUGCGUAGAUAUUGGAAGGAACACCAGUGGCGUAAGCGGCUAUCUGGACGAGUAUUGACGCUGAGGCACGAAAGCGUGGGGAUCAAACAGGAUUAGAUACCGAGUAGUCC